UACAUUUAAGUAUAAGUCGUAUAAAAAUUUUUGGAAUUUUAGGGGAUAGUUGAAUUCUAUCAAAUGUAA
rnacentral:tRNA from 1 species